CGAAGAACAGAGAAGUGAGAGAAGAAAGAGCGAAGGAGGCAGAGAUUGAUGCCAUUUCUGCGUCCAAACUCGUACCAUGCGAAAAGGUUUGUUGGUGGAGGCCUAAAGGGAGAUGGGACCGAAGCACUUUUUGUUGUCUGCGUUGAGCGUGGUGGGUGUUUCGAUUGGGCUUCGGUAUGCUUCUGGACAGACUGUGGGCCUACGGAGGGGUGUGAAUGGCUCCGGGGAGCUAUGGCUUUUGUUCCUUUUUUUUCUAAAUAAAUCAUUUCAAAUGAUUCUCUCAA